rnacentral:lncRNA from 1 species
GAAUUGGAGCUGGAGUCUGCCUGCUGAGCACGCAGCAACAGAACUGGUCCUUCACGUCAUCGAAGAUUAGGUCCCUCCACCAAGAAGGCUGAGGCAAUCCACAAAGAGGAUUCUGUCUGUGGGGAAAGGGCACGGCAGGUGAUGGAGCAUGGCAGGAUGACCACCAGGGGCCUGCGGGCACUGAAUUGCCAGUCUGUGUUCACUGAAGAACAUCUAUGCACCAGUGUAUAGCAUUUGGAGGAGAGGCAAAGACUGCAGAAGAAAUGAGUGUCUGAGAAGACAAGGACGGACUUCAGUAGAAGAGGUUUAGGAAAAACAAUCAAAUCUUGGUGUUAAUGUUAUGGAGAGAUCAGGUAGGGCACUUCAGAAGUCUAUGAAAAAAGGAGAAUGUUAAAUCCUAUAAAAUGGGGUUAUUGUAAAUCUUCAGAUAGUGCUGUUCUAAAAUUUUUGAAAGGAACGAAUUUGAAUAAAAGUUCUUGAGGAAAAAAAUAAUCCUAUCUUGCCAAUAGGUCUCUCCCUUUAGAAAAUUCAUGAGCCAAAAGCAGGAUCCAUGCGAAGGCUGGGGGCUAUGAGAAUGUGCUAAGCAUUAACCUGAAUCUUAAAUUGUUUUAAUGAUAGAAAUUUUACAUGUUCCUAGAAUCUAGUUGCUACCUCUAGCACCUAAACCAAGAAUGGAGGACUGAGAGUAAACGUGGGAAAGGAAUACUCNNNNNNNNNNNAUUAAUACCUAAAAUAAUAUAAUUUAUUAGGCAUUAUGUCAGACAUUUUGCCAUAAUAAUGCUAGGAAGUAGGUGCUACCAUCAGUAGCAUUCUUCAUUGGUAGAAACCGAGGUUCAGAGAGGUUAAGAAUCUGCUCAAGGUCACAGAGCCAGUAAUCGUACGCUGUCACCAUCUCUAAAGUCUUAAUCUUGUUGCUACUGUACUAAAUUCUUUGAAUCUGUACGUGUAUGUUUGUGUGCAUUGAGGUGGGGAACAAGAUUACUCGAAAUGCUUUAUCUUACCGAGUUCACAAUGUAUAUCCUCAGAAAUGCAUGCUCUACUAAAGUCUAGGAGGCUGCUGCCAAUAAGGUACUGUGUAAUAAAACGGAUGGUUAAUUUGGUUUUAGAAGGUGGGUGAGACACAGAAGGGCGUGCGCACAUACAGAUAAGACGACAGGAAGGCCCUAGUGACAAACGUGGGAAAACGAAUGCUCAGAUCCAGA